rnacentral:pre_miRNA from 1 species
AUACCAAGUUUCUGUCACGGACAGAACCCCACUCUCUACUUCGAGCGAUUGAUCCACUCUUUCCAUUCUCGAUGAAGUAAGGAGUGGGGUUCCUCCGCGACAGGCACUUGGUGU